rnacentral:rRNA from 1 species
CUGCCCGGUGCUCGAAGGUUAAUUGAUGGGGUUAGCAUUAGCGAAGCUCUUGAUCGAAGCCCGAGUAAACGGCGGCCGUAACUAUAACGGUCCUAAGGUAGCGAAAUUCCUUGUCGGUUAAAUACCGACCUGCAUGAAUGGCGUAACGAGAUGGGAGCUGUCUCAAAGAGGGAUCCAGUGAAAUUGUAGUGGAGGUGAAAAUUCCUCCUACCCGCGGCAAGACGGAAAGACCCCGUGGACCUUUACUACAGCUUGACACUGCUACUUGGAUAAGAAUGUGCAGGAUAGGUGGGAGGCUUUGAGUAUAUGACGCCAGUUGUAUAUGAGCCAUUGUUGAGAUACCACUCUUUCUUAUUUGGGUAGCUAACCAGCUUGAGUUAUCCUCAAGUGGGACAAUGUCUGGUGGGUAGUUUGACUGGGGCGGUCGCCUCCCAAAUAAUAACGGAGGCUUACAAAGGUUG